GAUUGGGCCGAUCUCUCGUCCCACCUCACUCUGAGGUAACUCGCUCUCUGAUUGGGCCGACUUCCCGUCCCACCUCUCUCUGAGGCAACUCGCUCUCUGACUGGUCCGAGCUCCCGUCCUUCCUACCCUGCCCUGUGGCAACUCGCUCUCUGAUUGGUCCGAGCUUCCGUCCGUCCUAUCCUUCCCUGUGGCCUCUCUCUCUCUGAUUCGUCCGAACUCCCGUCCGUCCUCUCCUGCCCUGUGGCAACUCGAUCUCUGAUUGGGCCGAGGUCCCGUCCCACCUCUCUCUGAGGUAACUCGCUCUCUGAUUGGCCCGAGCUUCCGUCCGUCCUAUCCUUCCCUGUGGCAACUCGCUCUCUGAUUGGUCCGAACUCCCGUCCGUCCUCUCCUGCCCUGUGGGAACUCGCUCUCUGAUUGGGCCGAUCUCUCGUCCCACCUCACUCUGAGGUAACUCGCUCUCUGAUUGGGCCGACUUCCCGUCCCACCUCUCUCUGAGGCAACUCGCUCUCUGACUGGUCCGAGCUCCCGUCCUUCCUACCCUGCCCUGUGGCAACUCGCUCUCUGAUUGGUCCGAGCUUCCGUCCGUCCUAUCCUUCCCUGUGGCCUCUCUCUCUCUGAUUCGUCCGAACUCCCGUCCGUCCUCUCCUGCCCUGUGGCAACUCGAUCUCUGAUUGGGCCGAGGUCCCGUCCCACCUCUCUCUGAGGUAACUCGCUCUCUGAUUGGCCCGAGCUUCCGUCCGUCCUAUCCUUCCCUGUGGCAACUCGCUCUCUGAUUGGUCCGAACUCCCGUCCGUCCUCUCCUGCCCUGUGGGAACUCGCUCUCUGAUUGGGCCGAUCUCUCGUCCCAGCUCUCUCUGAGGUAACUCGCUCUCUGAUUGGCCCGAGCUUCCGUCCGUCCUAUCCUUCCCUGUGGCCUCUCUCUCUCUGAUUCGUCCGAACUCCCGUCCGUCC
rnacentral:lncRNA from 1 species